rnacentral:rRNA from 1 species
GUGGGGAAUAUUGGACAAUGGGCGCAAGCCUGAUCCAGCAAUACCGCGUGUGUGAAGAAGGCCUGAGGGUUGUAAAGCACUUUCAAUAGGGAGGAAAACCUGUCGGCGAAUACCCGGCAGCUUGACAUUACCUAUACAAGAAGCACCGGCUAACUCCGUGCCAGCAGCCGCGGUAAUACGGAGGGUGCAAGCGUUAAUCGGAAUUACUGGGCGUAAAGCGUGCGUAGGCGGUUUGCUAAGUCAGAUGUGAAAGCCCCGGGCUUAACCUGGGAACGGCAUUUGAAACUGGUUAACUUGAGUUUAGUAGAGGGGAGUGGAAUUUCAGGUGUAGCGGUGAAAUGCGUAGAUAUCUGAAGGAACACCAGUGGCGAAGGCGACUCCCUGGACUAGAACUGACGCUGAGGUACGAAAGCGUGGGUAGCAAACAGGAUUAGAAACCCUAGUAGUCC